rnacentral:misc_RNA from 1 species
GAUGAAGAACGCAGCGAAAUGCGAUAAGUAAUGUGAAUUGCAGAAUUCAGUGAAUCAUCGAGUCUUUGAACGCACAUUGCGCCCCCUGGUAUUCCGGGGGGCAUGCCUGUCCGAGCGUCAUUGCCGCCCUCAAGCACGGCUUGUGUGUUGGGCCCCCGCCCCCCGGCUUCGGGGGGCGGGCCCGACAGGCAGCGGCGGCACCGCGUCCGGUCCUCGAGCGUAUGGGGCUUCGUCACCCGCUCUGUAGGCCCGGCCGGCGCCCGCCGGCGACCCCAAUCAAUCUUUCCAGGUUGACCUCGGAGCAGGUAGGGAUACCCGCUGAACUUAAGCAUAUCAAUAAGCGGAGGA